GUGUCAGCCGCCGCGGUAAUACGUAGGUGGCAAGCGUUAUCCGGAUUUACUGGGCGUAAAGAGUGCGUAGGCGGUUCUUCAAGUCGGAUGUGAAAUCUCCCGGCUUAACCGGGAGGGGUCAUUCGAAACUGUUGGACUAGAGGACAGCAGGGGGAGGUGGAAUUCCCGGUGUAGUGGUGAAAUGCGUAGAUAUCGGGAGGAACACCAGUGGCGAAGGCGGCCUCCUGGGCUGUUUCUGACGCUGAGGCUCGAAAGUGUGGGGAGCGAACAGGAUUAGAUACCCUGGUAGUCCACACUGUAAACAAUGGACACUAGGUAUGGGGAGUAUCGACCCUUUCUGUGCCGAAGCUAACGCUUUAAGUGUCCCGCCUGGGGACUACGGCCGCAAGGCUAAAACUUAAAUGAAUUGACGGGG
rnacentral:rRNA from 1 species